rnacentral:rRNA from 1 species
GACGAACGCUGGCGGCGUGCUUAACACAUGCAAGUCGAACGGAAAGGCCCUGCUUUUGUGGGGUGCUCGAGUGGCGAACGGGUGAGUAACACGUGAGUAACCUGCCCUUGACUUUGGGAUAACUUCAGGAAACUGGGGCUAAUACCGGAUAGGAGCUCCUGCUGCAUGGUGGGGGUUGGAAAGUUUCGGCGGUUGGGGAUGGACUCGCGGCUUAUCGACUUGUUGGUGGGGUAGUGGCUUACCAAGGCUUUGACGGGUAGCCGGCCUGAGAGGGUGACCGGCCACAUUGGGACUGAGAUACGGCCCAGACUCCUACGGGAGGCAGCAGUGGGGAAUAUUGCACAAUGGGCGGAAGCCUGAUGCAGCAACGCCGCGUGCGGGAUGACGGCCUUCGGGUUGUAAACCGCUUUCGCCUGUGACGAAGCGUGAGUGACGGUAAUGGGUAAAGAAGCACCGGCUAACUACGUG